rnacentral:misc_RNA from 1 species
GUUGUGGGCGGAAUGAUCGCUGAGAUAACGUCCCGCAGUGGCGCAGCUUCCCUGCGCCUCAAUAGUAAUGGCCUCAUUGCUCUUCCCGGCAUUGUCGACAUGCAUGGUGACGCGUUCGAGCGCCAGAUGAUGCCACGUCCCGGCGUCGACUUCCCGAUCGAUGUCGCACUUGUCGACAGCGACCGCCAGGCGAUUGCCAACGGCAUCACCA